CCAACGGCCCUCUUUAGGGCCACAAUCAUACAUACAACGAAUCGA
rfam:Nippostrongylus brasiliensis genome assembly, scaffold: NBR_contig0015293